GCAGUCGAGCGAACUGAUUAGAAGCUUGCUUCUAUGACGUUAGCGGCGGACGGGUGAGUAACACGUGGGCAACCUGCCUGUAAGACUGGGAUAACUUCGGGAAACCGAAGCUAAUACCGGAUAGGAUCUUCUCCUUCAUGGGAGAUGAUUGAAAGAUGGUUUCGGCUAUCACUUACAGAUGGGCCCGCGGUGCAUUAGCUAGUUGGUGAGGUAACGGCUCACCAAGGCAACGAUGCAUAGCCGACCUGAGAGGGUGAUCGGCCACACUGGGACUGAGACACGGCCCAGACUCCUACGGGAGGCAGCAGUAGGGAAUCUUCCGCAAUGGACGAAAGUCUGACGGAGCAACGCCGCGUGAGUGAUGAAGGCUUUCGGGUCGUAAAACUCUGUUGUUAGGGAAGAACAAGUACGAGAGUAACUGCUCGUACCUUGACGGUACCUAACCAGAAAGCCACGGCUAACUACGUGCCAGCAGCCGCGGUAAUACGUAGGUGGCAAGCGUUAUCCGGAAUUAUUGGGCGUAAAGCGCGCGCAGGCGGUUUCUUAAGUCUGAUGUGAAAGCCCACGGCUCAACCGUGGAGGGUCAUUGGAAACUGGGGAACUUGAGUGCAGAAGAGAAAAGCGGAAUUCCACGU
rnacentral:rRNA from 2 species